AUUGAACGCUGGCGGCAGGCCUAACACAUGCAAGUCGAGCGGGGUUUUCGGACCUAGCGGCGGACGGGUGAGUAAUGCGUAGGAAGCUGCCCGAUAGAGGGGGAUACCAGUUGGAAACGACUGUUAAUACCGCAUAAUGUCUACGGACCAAAGUGUGGGACCUUCGGGCCACAUGCUAUCGGGUGCGCCUACGUGGGAUUAGCUAGUUGGUGGGGUAAUGGCUCACCAAGGCGACGAUCCCUAGCUGGUUUGAGAGGAUGAUCAGCCACACUGGAACUGAGACACGGUCCAGACUCCUACGGGAGGCAGCAGUGGGGAAUAUUGGACAAUGGGCGCAAGCCUGAUCCAGCCAUGCCGCGUGUGUGAAGAAGGCCUUCGGGUUGUAAAGCACUUUCAGCGAGGAGGAAGGGGUAGUAGUUAAUAGCUGCUACUUUUGACGUUACUCGCAGAAGAAGCACCGGCUAACUCUGUGCCAGCAGCCGCCGCCGUAA
rnacentral:rRNA from 1 species